CUCACAAACAUGUAUACAGACCGACAGGGGAGCACCGGGACCUCAGGGAAGGGGAAAACACCAGACAACACUGGAGGCCUGGCCAUGACAACAUACCUUGCUUGCACUGACAAACAAUCUGAGAUUUGUCAUAUAUUACAAAACCUGAAAAUCCAGGCUGCUGGUAAAUUACCAAAGAAGAAAUCACAGAUUGCUGCCAACGUUGAAAAUCACUUUAUGAUCAUUGAUACAAAAAUAUUUUUGCAAGCUUUUGAAAUGGUCUUCUCCAGGAAGACAUGAACCAGAUCAGACGACUGGGGAAAUCACCACCUGUGUGUGUGUGUGUGUGUGUGUGCGUGCUCACAUGUUCUGUAUCCGUGAAUGUGUGUGCUGCUGUACUUCUGUCUCAGUGAAGAUUAAACUGAGUUUUUGAUCUUCAUGGUGAGGUCAUCUAGCCUGUCCUCACCUCUCAAAGGGAGUAUUUUAAGGUCAGGACUUGGGUUGAGGUUAAUUAGAGUUAAUUGAUUGGCUACAUAUGGAGCUAUGGGUUCAGGUGCAAGUUGACAGUCUUCUCUGGUGUCUUCACAGCCUAUGCUUUGAUACCCAUACUGAGAAUACUGACCACACUUAUUCCAAAGAACUUUUCGUACUUUCUCUUAGAGCUUGCUUACUGAAGAGUCAUGUUGGCGUUUGACAAGGUUGUAAAAUGAGAUGCAGUGUCUAGUUCCCUUUAUGCUACAAAGCAAGCGUUGUAUACAAAAAUUAAAUACAGCAAUGCUAUUUUGCAUGGUGCAGUGCUGAGGGUGAAUUUAAGAGUCUCACAGCUUGGGGGAAGAAGCUGCUCUGUAGUCUGGUGGUACCAACAAAAUGAUUUUGAAACUGGUAUUUUAAGGUAAAAUUACUACAGAAUGUUGUUUUUAACUGAAUCUGUAUUAAUCAAAA